GCGGGAGGAGAUCCAAAAAACAGCUGAGGAGUGCGAGGUUAUGUGGGAGCAGAGCGGGAGAGAUGACAAGCCUGUCGGACCAUUGCGGUAUUUCAUUAAGAACACUGCACGAAAGAUGCGGCGGUUAGCCAGCUUGCUAGGUUGCCGGGAAGCCGAAAUCGCUACAUCUUCCUCUUCAGAAGAGCGGGAGAUUCCUGAGGACGAGCUAAUUCUGAGUCAAGGCAUACUUCCAAAGCAUACCUCCAAGCAAGCCCCAAGGUCAG